rnacentral:rRNA from 1 species
UGCUUGGGAAUCUACCUAGUAGUGGGGGAUAACGUGUGGAAACGCACGCUAAUACCGCGUACGUCCUAAGGGAGAAAGCAGGGGAUCUUCGGACCUUGCGCUAUUAGAUGAGCCCAAGUCGGAUUAGCUAGUUGGUGAGGUAAUGGCUCACCAAGGCGACGAUCCGUAGCUGGUCUGAGAGGAUGAUCAGCCACACUGGGACUGAGACACGGCCCAGACUCCUACGGGAGGCAGCAGUGGGGAAUAUUGGACAAUGGGGGAAACCCUGAUCCAGCCAUGCCGCGUGUGUGAAGAAGGCUC